rnacentral:rRNA from 1 species
ACUCAAAGGAAUUGACGGGGGCCCGCACAAGCGGUGGAGCAUGUGGUUUAAUUCGACGCAACGCGAAGAACCUUACCGGCUCUUGACAUGCCUCGAACCCCAGCAGAAAUGUUGGGGGCCCAGCAAUGGGCGGGGACACAGGUGCUGCAUGGCUGUCGUCAGCUCGUGUCGUGAGAUGUUGGGUUAAGUCCCGCAACGAGCGCAACCCUCGCCAUUAGUUGCCAUCAUUCAGUUGGGCACUCUAGUGGGACUGCCGAAGAUAAUUCGGAGGAAGGCGGGGAUGACGUCAAGUCAUCAUGGCCCUUACGGGCCGGGCUAAACACGUGCUACAAUGGCGGUGACAGUGGGCAGCGAGGCAGCAAUGCCAAGCUAAUCCCAAAAAGCCGUCUCAGUUCGGAUUGGAGCCUGCAACUCGGCUCCAUGAAGUCGGAAUCGCUAGUAAUCGUGGAUCAGCACGCCACGGUGAAUACGUUCCCGGGCCUUGUACACACCGCCCGU